UACGUAGGGUGCAAGCGUUGUCCGGAAUUAUUGGGCGUAAAGAGCUCGUAGGCGGUUUGUUGCGUCGGCUGUGAAAACCUGAGGCUCAACCUCAGGCCUGCAGUCGAUACGAGCAGACUAGAGUGUUGCAGGGGAGACUGGAAUUCCUGGUGUAGCGGCGAAAUGCGCAGAUAUCAGGAGGAACACCGGUGGCGAAGGCGGGUCUCUGGGCAACAACUGACGCUGAGGAGCGAAAGCGUGGGGAGCGAACAGG
rnacentral:rRNA from 1 species